GUCUACGGCCAUGCCACCCUGAACAAGCCUGAUCCCGUCUGAUCUUGGAAGCUAAGCAGGGUCGGGCCUGGUUAGUACUUGGAUGGGAGAGCACCUAGGAAGACCAGAUGCUGUAGGUG
rnacentral:rRNA from 1 species